rnacentral:rRNA from 1 species
CGCGGCCUAUCAGCUUGUUGGUGGGGUAAUGGCCUACCAAGGCGGCGACGGGUAGCCGGCCUGAGAGGGUGUACGGCCACAUUGGGACUGAGAUACGGCCCAGACUCCUACGGGAGGCAGCAGUGGGGAAUAUUGCACAAUGGGCGCAAGCCUGAUGCAGCGACGCCGCGUGGGGGAUGAAGGCCUUCGGGUUGUAAACUCCUUUCGCUAGGGACGAAGCUUUUUGUGACGGUACCUAGAUAAGAAGCACCGGCUAACUACGUGCCAGCAGCCGCGGUGAUACGUAGGGUGCGAGCGUUGUCCGGAAUUACUGGGCGUAAAGGGCUCGUAGGUGGUUUGUCGCGUCGUCUGUGAAAUUCUGGGGCUUAACUCCGGGCGUGCAGGCGAUACGGGCAUAACUUGAGUGCUGUAGGGGUAACUGGAAUUCCUGGUGUAGCGGUGAAAUGCGUAGAUAUCAGGAGGAACACCGAUGGCGAAGGCAGGUUACUGGGCAGUUACUGACGCUGAGGAGCGAAGGCAUGGGUAGCGAACAGGAUUAGAUACCCUGGUAGUCCAUGCCGUAAACGGUGGGCGCUAGGUGUGAGGGUCUUUCUACGACUUUCGUGCCGUAGCUAACGCAUUAAGCGCCCCGCCUGGGGAGUACGG